CCUACGGGAGGCAGCAGUGGGGAAUAUUGCACAAUGGGCGAAAGCCUGAUGCAGCAACGCCGCGUGAGCGAUGAAGGCCUUCGGGUCGUAAAGCUCUGUCCUCAAGGAAGAUAAUGACGGUACUUGAGGAGGAAGCCCCGGCUAACUACGUGCCAGCAGCCGCGGGAAUACGUAGGGGGCUAGCGUUAUCCGGAAUUACUGGGCGUAAAGGGUGCGUAGGUGGUUUCUUAAGUCAGAGGUGAAAGGCUACGGCUCAACCGUAGUAAGCCUUUGAAACUGGGGAACUUGAGUGCGGGAGAGGAGCGUGGAAUUCCUGGUGUAGCGGUGAAAUGCGUAGAUAUUGGGAGGAACACCAGUUGCGAAGGCGGCUCACUGGACUGUAACUGACGCUGAGGCACGAAAGCGUGGGGAGCGAACAGGAUUAGAUACCCUGGUAGUC
rnacentral:rRNA from 1 species